UGAGCAAGUUGGGUGAUCGCUGCUUCGUAGUUUUCAGGUUUCAAAUCUGAGAUCUGAGCGACUCGAAGGAGAGGAAAGUCCGAACACCGUAGGGCAGCGAGCCCGCUAACGGCGGGGCGCCGGAACGGAUCGCGGAUUUCAGAUCUUGGAUUUGGGAUUGACGGUCUGGCGAAUUUCGGUGACGACAAGUGCAACAGAAAAAACACCAGCCAACCGGCUUGGGGUUUUGGGAUUUCAAAUCUGAAAUCUCAAAUUCUCAAGUCGAGGUGAUGGGUGAAAUGGUGCGGCCCGCAAGGGCUUAAUGUAAGAGCGCACCGGCGCGUGUGGUGACAUGCGCGGCCAGGCAAACUCCUCGCGGUGCAAGAUCAAAUAGGGAGGCGUGACAGGGCUGCCCGCCCGAAGCAGUUCGGGAAUCUUGAAUUUGGAAUUUGAGAUUUCAGUAUUGCUACGACCUCCGGGUAGAUCGCUUGAUCCGAUCGGCAACGAUCGGGCUAGAGGAAUGAUCGCCGCUUUGGUCGAUCUCAGAUUUGGAUCUCAGAUCUCGAGUAUGAUCAUUUCAGAUCUCAGAUUUGAGUUCUGAGAUCGACUGGAGAACAGAAUUCGGCUUACAGACUUGCUCUAUUU
rnacentral:RNase_P_RNA from 1 species